rnacentral:rRNA from 1 species
AACGAACGCUGGCGGCAUGCCUAACACAUGCAAGUCGAACGAGACCUUCGGGCCUAGUGGCGCAGGUGGGGGUAACGCGGGGGAACCUGCCCGUAGGUUCGGAAUAACUCCCCGAAGGGGGUGCUAAGACAGGAUAGUGUAUUCGGACCAACGAUUUAUCGCCGUUGGAUGGGCCCGCGUUGGAUUAGCCAGUUGGUAGGGUAAAAGCCUACCAAGGCGACGUUCCAUAGCUGGUCUGAUAGGAUGAUCAGCCACGCUGGGACUGAGGCACGGCCCAGACUCCUACGGGAGGCAGCAGUAGGGAAUAUUGGAGGAUGGGCGAAAGCCUGAUCAAGCAAUGCCGCGGGAGUGAUGAAGGCCUUAGGGUUGUGAAUCUCUUUUACCCGGGAUGAUAAUGACGGUACCGGGAGAAUAAGCUCCGGCUAACUCCGUG